rnacentral:rRNA from 1 species
CNGGCGAUACGGGCACGACUAGAGUGCUGUAGGGGUAACUGGAAUUCCUGGUGUAGCGGUGAAAUGCGCAGAUAUCAGGAGGAACACCGAUGGCGAAGGCAGGUUACUGGGCAGUUACUGACGCUGAGGAGCGAAAGCAUGGGGAGCGAACAGGAUUAGAUACCCUGGUAGUCCAUGCUGUAAACGGUGGGCGCUAGGUGUGGGCUGUGUGUUUGCAGUCUGUGCCGUAGCUAACGCAUUAAGCGCCCCGCCUGGGGAGUACGGCCGCAAGGCUAAAACUCAAAGGAAUUGACGGGGGCCCGCACAAGCGGCGGAGCAUGUGGAUUAAUUCGAUGCAACGCGAAGAACCUUACCUGGGUUUGACAUGCACCAGAUCGGCGUAGAGAUACGUUUUCCCUUGUGGUUGGUGCACAGGUGGUGCAUGGUUGUCGUCAGCUCGUGUCGUGAGAUGUUGGGUUAAGUCCCGCAACGAGCGCAACCCUUGUCUUAUGUUGCCAGCACAUUUUUUGGUGGGGACUCAUGAGAAACUGCCGGGGUCAACUCGGAGGAAGGUGGGGAUGACGUCAAAUCAUCAUGCCCUUUAUACCCAGGGCUUCACACAUGCUACAAUGGUCGGUACAACGGGUUGCGACACUGUGAAGUGAAGCUAAUCUCUGAAAGCCGGCCUCAGUUCGGAUUGGGGUUUGCAACUCGACCCCAUGAAGUCGGAGUCGCUAGUAAUCGCAGAUCAGCAACGCUGCGGUGAAUACGUUCCCGGGCCUUGUACACACCGCCCGUCACGUC